rnacentral:lncRNA from 1 species
CUUGUUUCUUUGCCCAUUCAACGCCCAUUGAGCAUCGCUUAGUAGUGUUUGGCGUUCACAUCCCUUUGGCUGAGACAGGGUCACCCUCAUUCUGGCCCCCAGCCCUGAGCACAGCGCCUGGCACCCAGCAGGCAUCCAAUCCAGCUUUCAAGGUGGUUUUGUUCUGCAAGCACUGGCUUGAGCGGAUCCUUCUGGAUUGGCCAGGUGGGACCCUGUGGAACCCAUACACCCCAGGUGAGCCACGCCAGCGUCCAGAGGAGUGACCAGCUUACUUUUCUCCCUCAGGACUUCCUGGGCAGAUACCCAGUCUCCAGGCACUCCUGGGUGGGGGCCUGGCGAGGCCCCCAGGGCUGGCACUGGAUCGACGAGGCCCCUCUGCCGCCCCAGCUACUCCCUGAGGACGGCAAGGACAACCUGGAUAUCAACUGCGGAGCCCUGGAGGAAGGCACUCUGGUGGCUGCAAACUGCAGCACUCCAAGACCCUGGGUCUGUGCCAAGGGGACCCAGUGAUCUGGGCUCUGCCUGUCCUCAGCCUGCCAGGCGGAUGCAGCACCCCUACAGGGGAGGCCAGCUGAGAGCUUGGGCAGCCUCUUCCUGGACCCAGGCAUCCAGGUCUCCCUGCUCUGUUCAACGGGGCACACACGAGCGAGUCUAGGAGCUGGACUUCAACCCAGGAAGAUGCAUCCGAGAAAGGAGAUUUUCUGUGGCCUCAGGCCUGAGUGCCAAUAUUAGUCUCCAGCUUCUGUGGAUGAUUGGUUUGAUGACAUUGGGAUGGUUGUUUAGCAUUUCUGUGCCUUGGUUUCAUUAAAAUGACAAUUUCUCCGUAGAGGAAAAAGACAGGGUUAGCAACCACAGCUGAUUCCAAUCUGGGUUCUCAUUCCGACUCAUGGAAAUGAGUCUGCUGUUGUUCGGUGGCAGCGGGACUUGGCAGGGAUAACGUCAUUGCUGUGAAUUCUGUUCCGGGCAGCUGGGCGUACGUCGGACACAGCCUACCGGCAGCCUCUGUGGAAAAUUAACCAAGGACAAGGAGCGGUCAGCCCUGGGAGGAGGGGAGACAGAGGUUUUCCUUCCCCGCCCUGAGAGUUGGCAAAGGGUUGGCAGACAGGAAGGUUCUGGGUGGAGAUCCCGCAUGUGGGCUGGCCAGCCCCUGGCAAGCUGAUGCCCAAGGGUGAGACAAGACAGAGAGGACAGGGCCACCUGUCAGGAGAAGCCAGAAGAGCACCCAGCUUGGUACGUGGACGCUGAGAAGUCUGGGUGAGAAAGGAAAUCAGAGAAAUGCGGGCAGGUUCCAGGCAGCUCUUCCACCCACAGCUGCACAGAUGACCAGCCUGAAGAUGUCUCUAUGCUGGGGUGCGGUGAAGACCUUCAGGCUGGAGGAAGUGGCUGGCAGAGUUGUGUAGUCCCUUGAGUCCAGCUAGACCUCCAAACAGCAGGAGCCUGGGCCUGCGUCUUAGCUUGAUGCUGAGCACGCACUCAACUGGCCCUUGCAAGCCAGCCUUCCCUCUAAAGUCAGACCACGCACCCAGAUCCCUCCUAAACAGAAAUCCUUAUUGGUGUAUUUGAGCCAGUAAUGGGCUGUGUGGGAGAAUGGGAUGGAGAGUCCUAGAUGGAAGAAAUUUCUCACACUCUUUUUUUAAAUUAGUAUUAUUAUACUU